AGUUGCUGUGAGUGGCUUGGAACAUGCAAAAUAUGCUAAGCAAGAAACACAGCCCGUACCUGAAGAGUUAGCAGUUGAAAGGCACAAAGAGGGGAUUGCAGUGGCAAAGCUAGGCUAGGUCUUGGAGGCUGGUGGAAGGCGAAGCGGGUGAAGGCAGGAGGCUGAUGGAGAGACUGGGGGGAAGAAAAGCCGAAAUGGAUUCACGGUGCCUUGGAUGGAGGACGAGAGGGGAAUUGCAAGCUCCUUCAACUCGUUCUGUCCGGUGAGAAGUGAUCAAGCUUGGGCUGACAAGAGGCUCAGGAAGCCCUCACGUUCUUUCGCUUUUUUACCUGCCAAUCAAACUGCUACAAGACAACACCCUGAUCUGGCAUGGACAUGUAAUUUCUAUUUAAAAUAAUUAGAUCAUUUAAUGGGCACACUAUGUUUUUCCCUGGACAACAGCUGCAGUGCAGAGACAACUCUUACGUUAAAACUGCUUGAUAAUU